UACGUAGGGGGCAAGCGUUGUCCGGAUUUAUUGGGCGUAAAGAGCGUGUAGGCGGCCAGAUAGGUCUGUUGUGAAAACUCGAGGCUCAACCUCGAGACGCCGAUGGAAACCAUUUGGCUAGAGUCCGGAAGAGGAGAGUGGAACUCCUGGUGUAGCGGUGAAAUGCGCAGAUAUCAGGAAGAACACCCGUGGCUAAGGCGGCUCUCUAGUACGGUACUGACGCUGAGACGCGAAAGCGUGGGGAGCGAACAGG
rnacentral:rRNA from 1 species